AGCCUGCGCGUCAGUUCCCGGCGCGAACCCACCGGGGGGCGAGGGCCGGGGAGGGGGACGUGAGCCCGGCGCUCCGGCCGCCCCCGAGCUGGGUGAGGCUGGGGUGCAAGCGUGGAAAGGACUGAGACGUUCUCACGCGUUUCCCCUCUUGUCUUCCAGCGGAGCUGAGUCCCUCUCCUCCGAUGAAAAAGAGCUAGGAACUGGCAGUGCCAGUGGCGACGAGUCUGCCCACGAGCGCCGGUCAGGAGAGGACAGUGCUGCGAGGGACUCUGGCAGCGCCUCCGGAGAGGAGUCCGAUGAAGAACAAGAAAAGCAAGAGUCACCACCACACUACAAGGAAUCAGGAGUGAACUGCCUGCCGCGCUGUGAACACUGCAGAAAUGAAAACGUCCCGAAGGAGCAGGUGACCCCAAAGAGACUUUCUGGAGAAAAGUACUUGUAUGUUCUUUUAAAUAUAAUAGAUAUACACCUACAUUGUUCACAUCAAGAUCCUUCUCCCUUCAGGUAGAGUGGGAAGAAGAGUAAUUUGCUGCACGAAUGCGUUUGUAGUUAUGAUAGAAGAUACCCCCAAAUCCUUAAAAAUAAACCGCUUAUAACUGCUGCCA
rnacentral:lncRNA from 1 species